GCCUCGCGCAGAGGAGGCGGCCUUCCGCCCGGUGCAGCCUUGGCGGCGGCAAAGAGUUAAUGCUACCGAGUGUCCCGGCCCGCCGCGGCCUAGAGGGGCCUGUGCGCGGCUCGGCGAGCGGCUGUCGCCGCCUCGCGUCGCCGCUCCGGGAGGGCGCCCUCCCGGCGAGGGUGGCCGCCCCUGCGCGCGCGGGGUCCCCGGCCUUCCCGGGGCUUCCGUCCGGGUCACGAUCGGCGGCCCCCAGAGGGCUCGUCCCUUUUCUGGGCCGCGCGUCCCCCACGACGAUUACGUUGUCCUCGUGAGCCCCUGCUGUUUCAGAGCCAAGCUCUUCCCAGGAAUGCGGACGGGACAGGAACGUGAGGGAUAACGCAGCCAUGUGAAGCCUGUCUGGGGCACGAAGGGCACCGCGAGCAGAGGGGAGGGACAGCGGAAGCUGAUGGCACUUGCCAGGACACAGCGGCCUCUCCGCGCCACGCUCCUCACUCACUGGACAGACAGGACACGUCCUACGCUGCGGACUUAACGAAUGAAGGUGGCUCUGAAAGACACGAGUGGCUUUGAGGUGCCUGCCAGAUGGCAGACACUGGGGAUUGUGCAGUGAACGGGACAGGCGUGGUCCAUGGCCUGCUGCAGCCUACACGCCAUGGGCAAAGAGACGACAAACAAACAAAGAUACUCCCAGAUGAGUGCUCUGCAGGAACGAGCCCUCUGAUGUGAUGGAGAAUGACUGUGGGCAGCCGGGAAGUGGUACCGCCUCUCCGAGGGGAUGUUCACCGUAUUGUACGAUCACCAGCUCUCUCCAGUUCCAGAACAAUUUCAGCCCCCAACACGAAACUGUCCAUUAGGAAGUUACUUCUCAUUCUCUCUAUGGAUUUACCUGUUGUGGAGAUUUCAUAGAAAGGGUAUCACCUUCCGCACCUGCCCCCUCUCAUUUAGCAGGUUUAAGUCUGUAUCACCACUUCCAUCCUUUUCUUGCCUAAUACUCCCUCACAUGAGCAGACAUGGCUGGCCGUGUACGUGUCUUACAGUGAACCACCGUAUACGUUUUGAGGCCGUCCAUGGCCACUGCUGCCUUUUAUGUUUAAUUGAAAACUUCCAUUAUAGGGUACUCGGUGAUGAUAUUUUAUUAAAAAAAAUUUUUUUAA